GGUGCUAUGGUCUAGUGGUCAGGACUUUGGAUUUUGACGCUACUUGUGUCCCAGUCUUCCAGAAGCCCCGGUUCGAACCCGGGUAGCACCU